rnacentral:rRNA from 1 species
GACGAACGCUGGCGGCGUGCUUAACACAUGCAAGUCGAACGGAAAGGCCCUGCUUUUGUGGGGUGCUCGAGUGGCGAACGGGUGAGUAACACGUGAGUAACCUGCCCUUGACUUUGGGAUAACUUCAGGAAACUGGGGCUAAUACCGGAUAGGAGCUCCUGCUGCAUGGUGGGGGUUGGAAAGUUUCGGCGGUUGGGGAUGGACUCGCGGCUUAUCAGCUUGUUGGUGGGGUAGUGGCUUACCAAGGCUUUGCCGGGUAGCCGGCCUGGGAGGGUGACCGGCCACAUUGGGGCUGGGGUACGGCCCAGACUCCUACGGGGGGCAGCAGUGGGGAAUAUUGCACAAUGGGCGGAAGCCUGAUGCAGCAACGCCGCGUGCGGGAUGACGGCCUUCGGGUUGUAAACCGCUUUCGCCUGUGACGAAGCGUGAGUGACGGUAAUGGGUAAAGAAGCACCGGCUAACUACGUG